rnacentral:rRNA from 1 species
AUUGAACGCUGGCGGCAGGCUUAACACAUGCAAGUCGAGCGGGGUGAUGGUGCUUGCACUAUCACUUAGCGGCGGACGGGUGAGUAAUGCUUAGGAAUCUGCCUAUUAGUGGGGGACAACAUCUCGAAAGGGAUGCUAAUACCGCAUACGUCCUACGGGAGAAAGCAGGGGAUCACUUGUGACCUUGCGCUAAUAGAUGAGCCUAAGUCGGAUUAGCUAGUUGGUGGGGUAAAGGCCUACCAAGGCGACGAUCUGUAGCGGGUCUGAGAGGAUGAUCCGCCACCAUGGGACUGGGACACGGCCCAGACUCCUACGGGAGGCAGCAGGGGGGAAUAUUGGACAAUGGGGGGAACCCUGAUCCAGCCAUGCCGCGUGUGUGAAGAAGGCCUUAUGGUUGUAAAGCACUUUAAGCGAGGAGGAGGCUCUUUUGGUUAAUACCCAAGAUGAGUGGACGUUACUCGCAGAAUAAGCACCGGCUAACUCUGUGCCAGCCGCCGCGGUAA